rnacentral:rRNA from 1 species
UGGGGAAUUUUGGACAAUGGGCGAAAGCCUGAUCCAGCAAUGCCGCGUGUGUGAAGAAGGCCUUCGGGUUGUAAAGCACUUUUGUCCGGAAAGAAAUCCUUGGCUCUAAUACAGUCGGGGGAUGACGGUACCGGAAGAAUAAGCACCGGCUAACUACGUGCCAGCAGCCGCGGUAAUACGUAGGGUGCAAGCGUUAAUCGGAAUUACUGGGCGUAAAGCGUGCGCAGGCGGUUUGCUAAGACCGAUGUGAGAUCCCCGGGCUCAACCUGGGAACUGCAUUGGUGACUGGCAGGCUAGAGUAUGGCAGAGGGGGGUAGAAUUCCACGUGUAGCAGUGAAAUGCGUAGAGAUGUGGAGGAAUACCGAUGGCGAAGGCAGCCCCCUGGGCCAAUACUGACGCUCAUGCACGAAAGCGUGGGGAGCAAACAGGAUUAGAUACCCUGGUAGUCCACGCCCUAAACGAUGUCAACUAGUUGUUGGGGAUUCAUUUCCUUAGUAACGUAGCUAACGCGUGAAGUUGACCGCCUGGGGAGUACGGUCGCAAGAUUAAAACUUAAAGGAAUUGACGGGGUCAUAGCUGUUUCCU